CAGCAGCCGCGGGAAUACGUAGGGUGCGAGCGUUAAUCGGAAUUACUGGGCGUAAAGCGUGCGCAGGCGGUUAUAUAAGACAGAUGUGAAAUCCCCGGGCUCAACCUGGGACCUGCAAUUGUGACUGUAUAGCUAGAGUACGGUAGAGGGGGAUGGAAUUCCGCGCGUAGCAGUGAAAUGCGUAGAUAUGCGGAGGAACACCGAUGGCGAAGGCAAUCCCCUGGACCUGUACUGACGCUCAUGCACGAAAGCGUGGGGAGCAAACAGGAUUAGAUACCCGAGUAGUCCCUGUCUCUUAUAC
rnacentral:rRNA from 1 species